rnacentral:rRNA from 1 species
GAUGAACGCUAGCUACAGGCUUAACACAUGCAAGUCGAGGGGAAACGACAUCGAAAGCUUGCUUUUGAUGGGCGUCGACCGGCGCACGGGUGAGUAACGCGUAUCCAACCUGCCCACCACUUGGGGAUAACCUUGCGAAAGUAAGACUAAUACCCAAUGAUAUCCCACGAAGGCAUCCGAAUGGGAUUAAAGAUUUAUCGGUGAUGGAUGGGGAUGCGUCUGAUUAGCUUGUUGGCGGGGUAACGGCCCACCAAGGCUACGAUCAUAGGGGUUCUGAGAGGAAGGUCCCCCCACAUUGGAACUGAGACACGGUCCAAACUCCUACGGGAGGCAGCAGUGAGGAAUA